UACAGAGGUCCCAAGCGUUGUUCGGAUUCACUGGGCGUAAAGGGUGCGUAGGCGGUCAUUUAAGUCUGACGUGAAAUCUCCGGGCCUAACCCGGAAACUGCGUUGGGAACUAUCUGACUAGAGGAAUGGAGGGGAGACUGGAAUACUUGGUGUAGCAGUGAAAUGCGUAGAUAUCAAGUGGAACACCAGUGGCGAAGGCGAGUCUCUGGACAUUUCCUGACGCUGAGGCACGAAAGCCAGGGGAGCAAACGGG
rnacentral:rRNA from 1 species